rnacentral:piRNA from 1 species
UAAAAGCUGGCAUCCAAGAUAGGAG